UACAGAGGGGGCAAGCGUUGUUCGGAAUUACUGGGCGUAAAGCGUGCGCAGGCGGUUGUGUAAGACAGAUGUGAAAUCCCCGGGCUCAACCUGGGAACUGCAUUUGUGACUGCACGGCUCGAGUGCGGCAGAGGGGGAUGGAAUUCCGCGUGUAGCAGUGAAAUGCGUAGAGAUGCGGAGGAACACCGAUGGCGAAGGCAGCCCCCUGGGCUAACACUGACGCUCAGGCACGAAAGCGUGGGGAGCAAACAGG
rnacentral:rRNA from 1 species